GACGAACGCUGGCGGCGUGCUUAACACAUGCAAGUCGAGCGGUAAGGCCCUUUCGGGGGUACACGAGCGGCGAACGGGUGAGUAACACGUGGGUGACCUGCCCUUAGCUCUGGGAUAAGCCUGGGAAACUGGGUCUAAUACCGGAUAUGACUCCAUGACGCAUGUUGUGGGGUGGAAAGCCUUGUGCGGCUAGGGAUGGGCCCG
rnacentral:rRNA from 1 species